rnacentral:rRNA from 1 species
AUUGAACGCUGGCGGCAGGCCUAACACAUGCAAGUCGAGCGGCAGCGGAAAGUAGCUUGCUACUUUGCCGGCGAGCGGCGGACGGGUGAGUAAUGUCUGGGAAACUUCCUGAUGGAGGGGGAUAACUACUGGAAACGGUAGCUAAAACCGCAUAACGUCGCAAGACCAAAGAGGGGGACCUUCGGGCCUCUUGCCAUCAGAUGUGCCCAGAUGGGAUUAGCUAGUAGGUGGGGUAACGGCUCACCUAGGCGACGAUCCCUAGCUGGUCUGAGAGGAUGACCAGCCACACUGGAACUGAGACACGGUCCAGACUCCUACGGGAGGCAGCAGUGGGGAAUAUUGCACAAUGGGCGCAAGCCUGAUGCAGCCAUGCCGCGUGUAUGAAGAAGGCCUUCGGGUUGUAAAGUACUUUCAGCGGGGAGGAAGGUGUUGAGGUUAAUAACCUCAGCAAUUGACGUUACCCGCAGAAGAAGCACCGGCUAACUCCGUG